AUUGAACGCUGGCGGCAGGCCUAACACAUGCAAGUCGAGCGGAUGAAGGGGGCUUGCUCCUGGAUUCAGCGGCGGACGGGUGAGUAAUGCCUAGGAAUCUGCCUGGUAGUGGGGGAUAACGUCCGGAAACGGGCGCUAAUACCGCAUACGUCCUGAGGGAGAAAGUGGGGGAUCUUCGGACCUCACGCUAUCAGAUGAGCCUAGGUCGGAUUAGCUAGUUGGUGGGGUAAAGGCCCACCAAGGCGACGAUCCGUAACUGGUUUGAGAGGAUGAUCAGUCACACUGGAACUGAGACACGGUCCAGACUCCUACGGGAGGCAGCAGUGGGGAAUAUUGGACAAUGGGCGAAAGCCUGAUCCAGCCAUGCCGCGUGUGUGAAGAAGGUCUUCGGAUUGUAAAGCACUUUAAGUUGGGAGGAAGGGCAGUAAGUUAAUACCUUGCUGUUUUGACGUUACCAACAGAAUAAGCACCGGCUAACUUCGUG
rnacentral:rRNA from 1 species